rnacentral:lncRNA from 1 species
GGCCAAUGCAUAUGUAACAAGACUACCUCUGGUUUCUUUUCUAAUUCUAUUCCAGUAAUAUCUUUAAUGAAUCUUAUCAUUCUCUUAAUAGAGAUCUGAAUGUUUGAGCAACUCCACCAGAUGUGGAGGAAUGAUCCCUCCUCUUUAUCACAUCUCCUACAUCUAGAGGUAACUCCAGGAUACAUCUGAGAUAGCUUGCUAGGGACUAAAUACCAUCUAUACAUAACCUUGUAGUAGGUUUCUAAUAAGUUUAAACAUUGGACCUGUCGGCGAGUGUUAUUUAUAGCUUUACACCAAUCUUCUUGUUCUAAAGAACACUUCAAAUCUUUUUCCCAUUUAGUCUUCUGGGGAAAACUAGCUACCUCAUUAAUAUUUCUAAUUAUC